rnacentral:rRNA from 1 species
UACGAAGGGGGCUAGCGUUGCUCGGAAUCACUGGGCGUAAAGCGCGCGUAGGCGGAUCGUUAAGUCGAGGGUGAAAUCCUGGAGCUCAACUCCAGAACUGCCUUCGAUACUGGCGAUCUAGAGUCCGGAAGAGGUGAGUGGAACUCCUAGUGUAGAGGUGGAAUUCGUAGAUAUUAGGAAGAACACCAGUGGCGAAGGCGGCUCACUGGUCCGGUACUGACGCUGAUGUGCGAAAGCGUGGGGAGCAAACAGG